rnacentral:rRNA from 1 species
UCGAACGGGGAUAAGACAUCGGAAGAGCUGCUUGCAGAAUGGAAGAAGUCAUAUUCUAGUGGCGGACGGGUGAGUAACGCGUGGGCAACCUGCCUUAUACAGGGGGAUAACAGCUGGAAACAGCUGCUAAUACCGCAUAAGCGCACAGCGGCGCAUGACGCAGUGUGAAAAACUGAGGUGGUAUAAGAUGGGCCCGCGUCUGAUUAGCUGGUUGGGAGGGUAACGGCCUACCAAGGCGACGAUCAGUAGCCGGCCUGAGAGGGCGGACGGCCACAUUGGGACUGAGACACGGCCCAGACUCCUACGGGAGGCAGCAGUGGGGAAUAUUGCACAAUGGGGGGAACCCUGAUGCAGCGACGCCGCGUGAGUGAAGAAGUAUUUCGGUACGUAAAGCUCUAUCAGCAGGGAAGAAAAAAGGACGGUACCUGAGUAAGAAGCCCCGGCUAACUACGUGCCAGCAGCCGCGGUAAUACGUAGGGGGCAAGCGUUAUCCGGAAUUACUGGGUGUAAAGGGAGCGUAGACGGCAAUGCAAGACCGGAGUGGAAUGCGGCAGCUCAACUGCCGAACUGCUCUGGAAACUGUAUGGCUUGAGUGCAGGAGGGGUAAGCGGAAUUCCUGGUGUAGCGGUGAAAUGCGUAGAUAUCAGGAGGAACACCGGUGGCGAAGGCGGCUUACUGGACUGUAACUGACGUUGAGGCUCGAAAGCGUGGGGAGCAA